rnacentral:tRNA from 1 species
AGAAACUUAGGUUAUUUUUAAACCAGGGGUCUUCAAAACCCCAAACAAGAACUCACCACUCUUAGUCUCUG